UACGUAGGGGGCUAGCGUUGUCCGGAAUCAUUGGGCGUAAAGCGCGUGUAGGCGGUCCGGUAAGUCCGCUGUGAAAGUCGGGGGCUCAACCCUCGGAUGCCGGUGGAUACUGUCGGGCUUGAGUACGGAAGAGGCGAGUGGAAUUCCUGGUGUAGCGGUGAAAUGCGCAGAUAUCAGGAGGAACACCAAUUGCGAAGGCAGCUCGCUGGGACGUUACUGACGCUGAGACGCGAAAGCGUGGGAGGCA
rnacentral:rRNA from 1 species